AGAGUUUGAUCCUGGCUCAGGACGAACGCUGGCGGCGCGCCUAACACAUGCAAGUCGAACGAGAGAGAGGGAGCUUGCUUCCUCAAUCGAGUGGCGAACGGGUGAGUAACGCGUGAGGAACCUGCCUCAAAGAGGGGGACAACAGUUGGAAACGACUGCUAAUACCGCAUAAGCCCACGGCUCGGCAUCGAGCAGAGGGAAAAGGAGCAAUCCGCUUUGAGAUGGCCUCGCGUCCGAUUAGCUAGUUGGUGAGGUAAUGGCCCACCAAGGCGACGAUUGGUAGCCGGACUGAGAGGUUGAACGGCCACAUUGGGACUGAGACACGGCCCAGACUCCUACGGGAGGCUGCAGUGGGGAAUAUUGCACAAUGGGGGAAACCCUGAUGCAGCGACGCCGCGUGGAGGAAGAAGGUCUUCGGAUUGUAAACUCCUGUUGUUGAGGAAGAUAAUGACGGUACUCAACAAGGAAGUGACGGCUAACUACGUGCCAGCAGCCGCGGUAAAACGUAGGUCACAAGCGUUGUCCGGAAUUACUGGGUGUAAAGGGAGCGCAGGCGGGCGAUCAAGUCGGAAGUGAAAUCCAUGGGCUCAACCCAUGAACUGCUUUCAAAACUGAUUGUCUUGAGUAGUGCAGAGGUAGGCGGAAUUCCCGGUGUAGCGGUGGAAUGCGUAGAUAUCGGGAGGAACACCAGUGGCGAAGGCGGCCUACUGGGCACCAACUGACGCUGAGGCUCGAAAGUGUGGGUAGCAAACAGGAUUAGAUACCCUGGUAGUCCAUGCCGUAAACGAUGAUUACUAGGUGUUGGGGGAUUGACCCCCUCAGUGCCGCAGUUAACACAAUAAGUAAUCCACCUGGGGAGUACGACCGCAAGGUUGAAACUCAAAGGAAUUGACGGGGGCCCGCACAAGCAGUGGAGUAUGUGGUUUAAUUCGAAGCAACGCGAAGAACCUUACCAGGUCUUGACAUCCGAUGCAUAGCACAGAGAUGUGUGAAAUCCUUCGGGACAUCGAGACAGGUGGUGCAUGGUUGUCGUCAGCUCGUGUCGUGAGAUGUUGGGUUAAGUCCCGCAACGAGCGCAACCCUUAUUGCCAGUUACUACGUUAAGAGGACUCUGGCGAGACUGCCGUUGACAAAACGGAGGAAGGUGGGGAUGACGUCAAAUCAUCAUGCCCUUUAUGACCUGGGCUACACACGUACUACAAUGGCGUUAAACAAAGAGAAGCAAGACCGCGAGGUGGAGCAAAACUCAAAAACAACGUCUCAGUUCAGAUUGCAGGCUGCAACUCGCCUGCAUGAAGCCGGAAUUGCUAGUAAUCGCGGAUCAGCAUGCC
rnacentral:rRNA from 1 species